rnacentral:rRNA from 1 species
ACUGUCAGGUGGGCAGUUUGACUGGGGCGGUCGCCUCCCAAAAGGUAACGGAGGCGCUCAAAGGUUCUCUCAGUACGGUCGGAAAUCGUACGUAGAGUGUAAAGGCAAAAGAGAGCUUGAUUGCAAGACAUACAGGUCGAGCAAGGAUGAAAAUCGGACUUAGUGAUCCGGUGGUUCUGCGUGGAAGGGCCAUCGCUCAACGGAUAAAAGCUACCCUGGGGAUAACAGGCUUAUCUCCCCCAAGAGUCCACAUCGACGGGGAGGUUUGGCACCUCGAUGUCGGCUCAUCACAUCCUGGGGCUGUAGUAGGUCCCAAGGGUUGGGCUGUUCGCCCAUUAAAGUGGUACGCGAGCUGGGUUCAGAACGUCGUGAGACAGUUCGGUCCCUAUCCGUCGCAGGCGUAGGAAAUUUGAGAAGACCUGUCCUUAGUACGAGAGGACCGGGAUGGACGUACCUCUGGUGUACCAGUUGUCCUGCCAAGGGCAUGGCUGGGUAGCUAU